GACGAGCCGUGCGAACGUUAUUCGGAAUCACUGGGCUUAAAGGGCGCGUAGGCGGGUGUGCAAGUCUGUGGUGAAAGCCUCCAGCUUAACUGGAGAAGUGCCAUGGAUACUGCACAUCUUGAGGAGGGUAGGGGCAUCUGGAACGGUCGGUGGAGCGGUGAAAUGCGUUGAUAUCGACCGGAACUCCGGUGGCGAAGGCGAGGUGCUGGACCCUUUCUGACGCCGAGGCGCGAAAGCCAGGGGAGCAAACGGG
rnacentral:rRNA from 1 species